AUUUUACAGAUGACAAAAAUGGGGCCCAGAAAGAUUGACUGAUUUCUCAACAUCAUGGCAUCUAGCCAGAAGCCAGCUCUCUGCCCCAUCUGUUCCUCUGGCUAUUCCUGCUGCAGACCAUACUUUUCUACAAAUGCUACAUGGAAGGACACCUUUGAUCUUUGAGGAGUCAGGCCUUAGUGCUCAUGCCAGGAGUCUACAAACUACUACAUGACCUUGAGCAAGUCAUAACCUACAAUAAAAGUGCAUACUUUUCUCAUAGGUAUCCCAAAAUCCAAAUCAGUGUGUCUGAGAGGCAGGAAUACUUGCUACCACUGGGGCCAUCCUCCCCUUUUGCCUUUCUCUCUUAGCCUGGCUGGUUGGAUGAUGGGAGAGUCAGCAACUCUGUCACUUCCAGUGAGGUUGAGGACACCAGGCCUUACCAUCCUCCCUACCUCUGUAACCCUUCAGUCUCCCAGCAUUGUCAUCUGACCUAGUACUGUAAUCUAAGGAUCCCUGGGCCAUUUCAUGCACCCCACCACUGCACCCGUAUUACUUUCAGCUCUUUCUAUCUGUCCUGCAAUUGAACUUUCUUUUAUGUGUUGUCUUUCCUUAUUAAAAUGGUAUCAGAAA